rnacentral:rRNA from 1 species
GUCUGGGAAACUGCCUGAUGAGGGGGAUAACUACUGGAAACGGUAGCUAAUACCGCAUAACGUCGCAAGACCAAANAGGGGGACCUUCGGGCCUCUUGCCAUCGGAUGUUGCCCAGAUGGGAUUAGCUUGUUGGUGGGGUAACGGCUCACCAAGGCGACGAGCCCUAGCUGGUCUGAGAGGAUGACCAGCCACACUGGAACUGAGACACGGUCCAGACUCCUACGGGAGGCAGCAUG